UCAGAGCUGUUGAAGCUGAUAUUUUCAGAGCUAUCGACGGAAAUCUGAGGCAUCACUUCCCUUUUUCUUUUCUCUCUCUCUCUUUAUUUAUUUAUUUAUUUAUUUAAAUGCUAGCUCUAAAGUCUCUGAGAUAUCUUUGAAAGCCUCAGCCUGUGGAUUUAGGGGCAGGGACAUGGGGGAAGGAGAUGGCCAGCCCAGGGUUAAGGUAGUGUUUCACCUAUGCUGGCCCGUCAAAACCUCACGUUAAGCUCACACAGCCUAACACAACAUGGAUGGACACCUCUGCCACCACAGACAGAUGGGUCUCGGCCUUGUUUCUGCUCAAGCCCAGCUGGAACUGGGGCCCCCACCAAUAUCAGCUCCUUCCAGAGACAUGCUGAUGAUCCAGUGAGGCCGCGAAGGAUGUGUAAGGGGUUUAUGAAAGAAAAGCCAAAGUGUUUGCAGUAAGAAAUGGGCCAGAAGACAUGUGGUGACCUCUGAGUGACGGGACCUGUUGGAGCCAUGGGAAGAAUGGAAGCAGAGCCCAGGACCUCUUCUCCUUCUGGGGCCACGUCCUUCACCAGCAUAAACAGGCUGAACUCUGCCUGGCCAGACUGCUGCCUUGUGUGCCAACACAGCCCGUGCCCCGCACUCACAGCCCAUUUCCUUUUUUGAGCCACAUAACACCAGAUACGAGCCUCAGCCCCCAGCUGCCAUCACCUGGGGGCACACAAGGCCAUUUCAGCAAACUCCUGACCCUACAAAACAAGCAAACAAAACAACCAGAACCUCCCCAAAAGAAUUCAACCAGUCAUGAAAUCGCAGCAUCCACCAGCACGGCUGUGAGAGCAGACAUCCCCAGUCUCCUUUUUUUCUCGUGUGUGACAUUUUUACUUCCUCCAGAGUUGUGUGUGCCCUCCGGACAAGCGAUUAAAUUAGAAGAUCAACAAUACAUGACGAAGGAGUGGGAUCAAUUUGCAGAGAAACGGCUGGAAGUGGUUUAUUACAUCUUUUAUCUUUUUUGCUGGGAGAUCACUUGCCAUAUCACUAAAAGAGAAAUCAAGUGACUGGGAUGACCAGCGACUAAAAAUUGCCUUUUUCUUCAUGAGUCGAUGUGACGACAAUAUUAUUUUGAAUAAAAUUAAAUACACAGAUCAGCUAAAAUCGCUUGCUUGGGGUCGGGCUCUGAUCCCAGUUACCCCAGCAGCACAUGGCUUUGUUGCAGCAAUUCAAACCCUCGUGUUCAUGUUUACCACAAAAUAAGGACACAGAUCCCGUGGCAACUCACCUGAUGCCAGGCCACGUGUGUGCACCCAGUGCCUAUGUCCCAAAAUACAGCCCCUGACCCCUUCCCUGCUGCAAUAAAGCCAUUUUCACCCACUGACCAAGACCCUCAAAGGACAUCGCCCACUAGCACACGGGCAGUGCUGUGCUGCCUCAUGCACCUCACGGUCACACCACUUCCAGCUCCUUUGGCACCAGCAGAGUGGUGGAUAGGAGACCAGAAAGCAAGAAGGGAAAAAGCCCUGCUCCCAAAAACCUUCCAAAAUGAGCAAAGUUGCCAGUUUUUAUCAAGUAAUAAUUUCCAGGUGCAGUGAGCUGUCAAAGCACAAGAUGUGCUGCACCAGGCUGGGAGUAAAGUGCUGAGAUCACCAAAAAGUACUGCAACUCCCAGGGAAAGGGAGAAACCCUUAGAGAUGCAGCGGGGGACAUCGUUGUUGUAUUAUCCUGAUCUUCUCUUUCUCUUUUUAACCUUAUUUGAGCUGUUAGUGGCUGGCAAGAUCAUCGUCUUUCGCUCGAGCCUCUCUGAAUUUGGGAAAUUCAAGUCAGAGAAAGAGCCCAACCCCGUCAAUUAUGAACAGACAGGACACGAUAACACACUUGAAACAGGUCCAGCAUUUAAAAACCCUUGCUAUAAAAAGGCAGAAGUUAAUUCAAUCACAGAAAACAACACUGCAGGACCUAUUAAUGCCGGGUCCCCGUGUUUUCAUCGAGAGCUCUGUCUUGUGCUUUUCCCCCAUCAUCUGCUAUUCACAUGACUCCACUUAGCAACCGCGUCUGAUUAAGCUUGUUUGUGCGCUGGGUGCUAUUAUUUCUGCUUCGAAUUAGUGCCUCCUUGUUCUCCUAUUUCCCCAAAUAUAGCUGAAUUAUCUCCUUUCACCCAGAGCUUGGGUGCGCGGUUGUUCCACUCGGGCGGGGUGAAGCAGCGCAUCCUCACCGCUGCCGUCCUAUGCGGGAUGGGAGAAAACAACGCUUGUUUUCAUGCAAAUCCCCUCUGUCUGUCAGGCAUCACAGUUGUCAAGCAGGUCAUUAGAAGCCUACUGUGUAAAAUGAAGAUUACUAAUUAGAGCUGGAGAAAUAAUUUGCAACAAAUAAUUUAUCCAAUGAGGUUGGAUUUUUUUUUCUCCGUGCAUGCAGGUUGUGACUUCGCCGGAGCCGGCCAUCGUUAAUGCUUUUUACUCAUUCUGCUCAUUGUGAUGGAUUCUGGUUUUUCAUUAUUACUUUCCUAAGAUGGGUGCCAACUUGGUGUUGAUGUGGGGUUUAUUUCCUGGCUUCGGAUAUCAAAAUAUGGCUGAAAUGAGUAAACGCUAGGUAUAGACUUAAAAAGUGCAUUCCCCCAACAUUGAUUUGUGUUUCUGCAAACAUCACACCACAAAAGUGGUUUGGGAAAUUUCUGUUAAAAU